rnacentral:lncRNA from 1 species
CCGAUUGGUGAGGCGAGGCGACGCCAGGGAGCCAGCGAGGCAGCGACGUGCCUCCAGGCCGCGCGCCGCCGUCGCCGCCUCGAAGCUCCCUGCGCCGCCGUCGUAGGAGUCUAUUGCGAUGAGGAUAUUAAGCUCCCUCUUCUGAAGGCAUUGAGGACACUCGCUGGCAGAAUCGAACCAAUUAACAAAGCCACCACUGAGUAA